GUCGGGAUAGCUCAGUGUAGAGCAGAGGACUGA
rnacentral:tRNA from 1 species